rnacentral:misc_RNA from 1 species
AAGUCGUAACAAGGUUUCCGUAGGUGAACCUGCGGAAGGAUCAUUAACACGAAAUUUAUAUCCAAAUAUUCAAAAACCCAACGUGAACUUUUCUCCUCCCUAUUUUUAAACUAUACUAAUUUAUUAGCUAGUUUUGAUUUAGGCUAACAUUUUAUUAAACCAUUUUAACACCUUUUAAUUUAUAAGUCUAUAGGUUAACAAACCUCUAGACUAAACUAACUAAAAAUUUUACUUAAGAUGUGCCAACUUUUAUCAGUUGUGUCUUUUAUCUUAAUUAAUAUUUUUUCAUUUACGAAAUAAAUAUUACUAUUAUAAGAACAACUCUUAGCAAUGGAUAUCUAGGUUCUC